UCUACGGGAGGCUGCAGUGGGGAAUAUUGCACAAUGGGGGAAACCCUGAUGCAGCGACGCCGCGUGGGCGAGGAAGUACCUCGGUAUGUAAAGCCCUAUCAGCAGGGAAGAAACAGGACAGUACCUGACUACGACGCCCCGGCUAACUACGUGCCACCAGCCGCGGUAAUACGUAGGGGGCACGCGUUAUCCGGAUUCACGGGGCGUAAAGGGAGCGCAGGCGGCAUGGCAAGUCUGAUGUGGAAACCCGGGGCCCAACCCCGGGAGUGCAUUGGAAACUGCCAGGCUGGAGUGUCGGAGGAGUAAGCGGAAUGCCUAGUGUAGCGGUGAAAUGCGUAGAUAUUAGGAGGAACACCAGUGGCGAAGGCGGCUUACUGGACGACUACUGACGCUGAGGCUCGAAAGCGUGGGGAGCGAACAGGAUUAGAUACCCUGGUAGUC
rnacentral:rRNA from 1 species